rnacentral:rRNA from 1 species
GAUCCAUUGGAGGGCAAGUCUGGUGCCAGCAGCCGCGGUAAUUCCAGCUCCAAUAGCGUAUAUUAAAGUUGCUGCGGUUAAAAAGCUCGUAGUUGGAUCUACUAAACCUAUUCGUGGGUGAGUCGCUCUUUGUACUAACGAAUCGCGCGGUUCCUUGACGAAGUUGUUUGUCAGUGUUAACGUUUCUCGGUCCUUCGGGCCCGAGAGCCUAACCGACUCGAACCGAGUCUCUGUGGACGGUGAAUCGUGGUUAUAAGGGUAUAGCUCGCUCGCGUUUGGUACAAUUAAAAUUUUGUCGGCUCGCUCGGAGUGCUCUUUACCGAGUGUUCCAGGGUGGCCGACACGUUCACUUUGAAAAAAUUAGAGUGCUUAAAGCGGGCCUUUCGAAAGGGCUUAAAUGUCUGUGCAUGGAAUGAAGUAACAGGACCUCGAUUCUGUUGUUUUUGUCGGUUUUAAUGAACCGAGGUAAUGAUUAAAAGGGACAGACGGUGGCAUUAGUAUUGCGACGCUAGAGGUGAAAUUCUUGGACCGUCGCAAGACUAACUACUGCGAAGGCAUUUGCCGAGAAUGUUUUCGUUAAUCAAGAACGAAAGUUAGAGGAUCGAAGGCGAUCAGAUACCGCCCUAGUUCUAACCCUAAACUAUGCUAACUAGCGAUCCGCCGGAGUCAUUCCCACGACCCGGCGGGAAGCCCCAGGGAAACCAAAGUCUUUGAGUUCCGGGGGAAGUAUGGUUGCAAAGCUGAAACUUAAAGGAAUUGACGGAAGGGCACCACCAGGAGUGGAGCCUGCGGCUUAAUUUGACUCAACACGGGAAACCUCACCAGGCCCGGACAUCAGAAGGACUGACAGGUUGAGAGCUCUUUCUCGAUUCGAUGGGUGGUGGUGCAUGGCCGUUCUUAGUUGGUGGAGUGAUCUGUCUGGUUGAUUCCGAUAACGAACGAGACUCUACCUUACUAACUAGUCGGCGGAUCGUAACCCUGAGAUGGUUAGUGUGUAUACGAGAGUGUCAUUGCCUAGGCAUUAUUUUCUCCAUCGAGGGGGGUCGUAAAACUAGACUAGUCGUUUUAUACGAUGAAAAUGGUUCGCUGCGUCUCUUUUUGGUCGGGAGAUUUUUUGUCGAAGCUGCUCUCUGAUUACUACUGCUGCUGGGGGCGUCCGUCGCAAUAUAUCUUCUUAGAAGGAUCAGCGGCGUAUAGCCGUACGAGAAAGAGCAAUAACAGGUCUGUGAUGCCCUUAGAUGUUCUGGGCCGCACGCGCGCUACAAUGUAAGGACCAGCGUGUUUUCCCCCUCCGAAAGGAACGGGUAACCCGUGGAAAGCCCUACACGAUUGGGAUUGGGGAUUGCAAAUAUUUCCCAUAAACGAGGAAUUCCCAGUAAGCGCAAGUCAUUAACUAGCGUUGAUUACGUCCCUGCCCUUUGUACACACCGCCCGUCGCUACUACCGAUUGAAUGAUUCAGUGAGGGCAUCGGACUGGCGCCUUCGGUUUUGAAACAUAGACCUUAGGCUGACGGAAAGAUGUCCGAACUCGAUCAUUUAGAG